rnacentral:lncRNA from 1 species
AAAGAAUGUAAAAAAACUACACUGAAAACAAGAUAGGAAUACAAAUAACUACACUGAAAACAAAACAGGAACAUAAAAAGACUACACUGAAAACAAAACAAGAACAUAAAAAGACUACUGAAAACAAGAUAGGAACACAAAACCACUCCAUUACAACAAAAAAGGAACACACACAUAAGUUACAUUGAAAACUAGAACGGAGCAUAAAAACACUAAACUGAGAACAAGAUAGGAACACAACAAGAAUACACUGAAAACAAGACAGGAAGAUAAAAAGACUACACUGAAAAAAAGACAGGAACAUAAAAAGACUACAUUAAAACAAUAAGGCAGCAACCAUUUGAUUUUCUGGGGGGGCUAUGGUUUUUUUUGGAAAAAAAGUUUGUUUCCAGUUUUUGGAGAGAAAAAUAAUUUGUUUUUGAUUCUGAGAAAAACAAAUUGUUUGUUUCACCCUUAGCUGCCACUAUCUGUAAUGCUAAAAUUGAAAGAAAAAAAUUGUUUUCGACUUGUCGCGAAAAAAAUAGAUUGUUUUUCGCCGCAGGCGAAAAAAAAAGUUUGUACAGAAAAAAAACCCAUAGCCCCCCCCCAGAAAAUCAAAUGGUUGCUGCCUAAAGGAACGCAAAAAGGCUACACCGAAAACAAGAUCUGAACAUAUAAAGACUACACUAAAAACAAUAGAGGAACACAAAAAGACUACACCGAAAACAAGAUGGACAUAAUAAGACUUCAUUAAAAAACAAUAUAAAGACUACACUGAAAACAAGAUAGGAACACAAAAAGACUUCAUUUAAAAAAAAACAGGAACACAACAAGAUAUUUACACAAAGAAACAAUUCUAAAACAAAACAGGAAUGCAAACCAAACUACAUGUAUGAUGAACUGUAGAUAUGAACACUGGAAUGAAUCGAAAGCAUGUACAAACUAUUAAAAACACAAUAUAAGAACGUCAACUACAAGUUGAUAACCAGAUAGGAACACAAACAAACUUCACUGAAACCAAGAUAGCUAUAGGACCGAAAAAAAAUGUAUAACAAUUUAAAUGAGAAACAUCAUGGUGCAUGAG